rnacentral:tRNA from 1 species
GGCUGAGUGGUGGAACGGUAUACACACAAGACUCAAAAUCUUGCGCCCAUCGGGCUUGAGGGUUCGAAUCCCUCCUUGGCUA